UACGAAGGGGGCUAGCGUUGCUCGGAAUCACUGGGCGUAAAGCGCACGUAGGCGGAUUGUUAAGUCGGGGGUGAAAUCCUGGAGCUCAACUCCAGAACUGCCUUCGAUACUGGCGAUCUUGAGUCCGGGAGAGGUGAGUGGAACUCCGAGUGUAGAGGUGAAAUUCGUAGAUAUCGGGAGGAACACCAGUGGCGAAGGCGACUACCUGGCCUGUUCUUGACGCUGAGGCGCGAAAGCUAGGGGAGCAAACGGG
rnacentral:rRNA from 1 species